UGUGGGAGCUGGCUUGCCUGCGAUGAGGUUGUGUCGCCAUGCAUCUCUGUGGCCGAUGCACCGCUAUCGCAGGCAAGCCAGCUCCCACA
rnacentral:antisense_RNA from 1 species